AGGAGGCGCAGAGAAAUAUUUAUUUACCUCUUUACUCUCUUUAACUCCUGAAUCCAAACACUUCAAGUCAAACCUGUCUUCUCUUUGCAGCUUCCUCUUCAUCGCUGUCGUCGUCAUCUUCGUAUUUCCUGCAAAAUGAAAACAUUUUUACUGAAUGACCCGUUUCAAAUGCAACACCGAGCUGACACGGUAAACCCCAGACGUCUGCGGACUGUGCGGGCGGGUCAGCGUCGCUCAAGUAACUUUCGGUUUUUUGACCAUGGCGCCAUAGUAAUCAUAUGCAUGUUAAGAGAGUCUUUGCCGCUUGCCAUAUUUCUGUUCUCCUUUUAGAGUCUAACAGGAAGUCAGAACCGAAGGAGCAUCAGACUUUGAAUGCCCAUAAGCAACUACUUUGUACAACUACAGGACACCUGGCCAUACAGAGCAUGGCACAUUCUGACUGCUAAUCUGGACCCCCACCCCCAGCUGACAACGUGCCACAACAUGAGAUGGAUGUGGAGAAGUGAAGAUGAUCAAAGAGUAUGAGUGUUUUUCCUCCCAUCGGGACAUUUCACACUAGGAAUAGUUCUGGUUUACCAUCACAGUUGCUGUCCCAUUGACAGCUCCAGCCUGGUGACUGGAGGGCUCUGCACCACUAUGUGCCCAGGCCAGGGUUGUGGGUGUUGACUCUUGGCGUGUAUGGCCCCCAAACAUGUCUUUGUCUCAGGGUCAGCCCCUGUGAACAAUGUUGUGUGACAUGAAAUAAAAAUAAAUUGUCAUAUGACUAUUGUUUAAAUGAAACUAAAUUAAGUAUACUUUUAAUUUUAACAUUUUUUACUCUCUUGGCCAUUUGUUUUUCUUGAGAUCUAUUCUUAAUUAUUUCUAAUUACAGUUUUUUUUCUUCUCAGGAUGUCAGCCGAGAAGCAGUGAAAGAGGACUGAACUAAUCGCUUCAAGAUUGUCUUGGUCCUUCCCAAUGAAACACAGGACAACCAAGACCCUGUGUAUGGGUCAGUCAUCAUUGAGGGCCCAGAAUUUGAAAAAUUUAAACAUGCAUUUGAAUUUAUUGUUAAAUUUUUUUUAAAUUCUACACUGUUUUACUUUUGCAGUUGAUACUGAUCUCUGUACUCCCUUUUUGCAUCCAUCUUCUAGACUUAUAUAUAUGUUCACUGUUUGGAAAUUUGCUAACAAGAGAUUAUAUGGCUGUGUCUGUGUGCAAUGUUAUGUAGAUGUUUUAUCUAUGCGACUUCUAAUGUUAAAUAAACAUAUCUUUCAAAUAUUCCUUAA